rnacentral:rRNA from 1 species
UACGAAGGGGCGUAGCGUUGUCUCGGAAGUACACUGGGCGGUAAAGGGACGGCGUAGGCGGCCUUGUAAGUUGGGGGUUGGAAAGACCCGUCGGCCCAACCACGGAAUUGCCUUCGAUACUGCUUGGCUUGAGUGUGGUAGAGGUUGGUGGAACUGCGAGUGUAGAGGUGAAAUUCGUAGAUAUUCGCAAGAACACCGGUGGCGAAGGCGGCCAACUGGACCAUCACUGACGCUGAGGCGCGAAAGCGUGGGGAG